rnacentral:rRNA from 1 species
UACGAAGGGGGCUAGCGUUGCUCGGAAUCACUGGGCGUAAAGGGUGCGUAGGCGGGUCUUUUAAGUCAGGGGUGAAAUCCUGGAGCUCAACUCCAGAACUGCCUUUGAUACUGAAGAUCUUGAGUUCGGGAGAGGUGAGUGGAACUGCGAGUGUAGAGGUGAAAUUCGUAGAUAUUCGCUAGAACACCAGUGGCGAAGGCGGCCAACUGGUCCGGAACUGACGCUGAGGUGCGAAAGCGCGGGGAGCAAACAGG